rnacentral:snRNA from 1 species
GGAUGUGAGGGCGAUCUGGCUGCGACACCUGUCACCCCAUUGAUCGCCAGGGUUGAUUCGGCUGAUCUGGCUGGGUAGGCGGGUGUCCCCUUCCUCCCUCACCGCUCCAUGUGCGUCCCUCCCGAAGCUGUGAGCUCAGUUGAAGAGGACGGCCUUCCCUGAAUAGAGACGGACCCAGUCUUCGGUUGAGGGUAUAAGAGUAGCUGUGCUCCCCUGCUAGAACCUCCAAACAAGCUCUCAAGGUCCUAAAUGAAAACCCAUUUUAAAAAAUUGGGCCAGGGAGAUUUGUCAGCAGUAUCACCCAAGUACAACAUCCUU